GGUGUGGUGGCCGAGUGGUUGAAGGCGCCGGUCUUGAAAACCGGUAAACCCGUCAGGGUUUCGUGGGUUCGAAUCCCACCCGCACCG
rnacentral:tRNA from 1 species